UGCCAAACAAAAUCUGCCAAGGUCCCC
rnacentral:piRNA from 1 species